UUACCAGACUCCUACGGGAGGCAGCAGUGGGGAAUAUUGCACAGUGGGGGAAACCCUGAUGCAGCGACGCCGCGUGAGCGAUGAAGUAUUUCGGUAUGUAAAGCUCUAUCAGCAGGGAAGAAAAUGACGGUACCUGACUAAGAAGCCCCGGCUAACUACGUGCCAGCAGCCGCGGUAAUACGUAGGGGGCAAGCGUUAUCCGGAUUUACUGGGUGUAAAGGGAGCGUAGACGGUCCUGCAAGCCAGAUGUGAAAGCCCGGGGCUCAACCCCGGGACUGCAUUUGGAACUGUAAGGCUAGAGUGUCGGAGAGGCAGGCGGAAUUCCUAGUGUAGCGGUGAAAUGCGUAGAUAUUAGGAGGAACACCAGUGGCGAAGGCGGCCUGCUGGACGAUGACUGACGUUGAGGCUCGAAAGCGUGGGGAGCAAACAGGAUUAGAUACCCCCGUA
rnacentral:rRNA from 1 species